GCCAUGAGUCACCAGCCAUCUUGCCAUAUGGACAUAAUUUUCUGAAUAUCUUAUAUAUUUUCAAGACUUUAUGACAACAGUAUCUUAUUGUAGAAUAAAAUAUAAGAUUUAAAAAGAAAAUGUUUUCCCCAUUAAAUAUGCUAGAAAUAACUUUUAACAGAAUUUUUAAUGAAGCAGGAGCUUCAUACAGAAUCCAAUGGAGGAACUGGAAAAUCAUCAUGAAAGAUAAUCAAUAGAGGACAAGAUUCAUAUUUUCUUUCCCAAAGUAUAAUGCAGGUAUGAGGUAUCUUUUAAGAUCAUUCUGUGUCAAAUUCCACUUGAUAGGGAAAAUGAUCUGACUAGGAUUAAUGGUGCCAGUCUCCUCUGUGCAUUCAUGUUAUAUUUUGAAGUAGAGAGCUUUUUAUGUCUGCUGUUGAAUUUAUAUGGCAAAAUUUAAUAUUCACUUAAUGUGCUAUACUUUCCAAAAACCAAUACUCUGACUGUUAACAUUCUACCAGCAAAUAAAAAUAUAAAGAGCAAUCGAUUAUAUCAAAUAAUUAGGGCUAUUUGUAAAGACCAAAGAUGAAAGCCUAAGUUUAAAUGAGUGGU
rnacentral:lncRNA from 1 species